AGUGAACGCUGGCGGUAGGCCUAACACAUGCAAGUCGAACGGCAGCACAGUAAGAGCUUGCUCUUACGGGUGGCGAGUGGCGGACGGGUGAGGAAUACAUCGGAAUCUACUUUUUCGUGGGGGAUAACGUAGGGAAACUUACGCUAAUACCGCAUACGACCUACGGGUGAAAGCAGGGGAUCUUCGGACCUUGCGCGAUUGAAUGAGCCGAUGUCGGAUUAGCUAGUUGGCGGGGUAAAGGCCCACCAAGGCGACGAUCCGUAGCUGGUCUGAGAGGAUGAUAGGCCACACUGGACGUGAGACACGGUCCAGACUCCUACGGGAGGCAGCAGUGGGGAAUAUUGGACAAUGGGCGCAAGCCUGAUCCAGCCAUACCGCGUGGGUGAAGAAGGCCUUCGGGUUGUAAAGCCCUUUUGUUGGGAAAGAAAAGCAGCAGGUUAAUACCCCGCUGUUCUGACGGUACCCAAAGAAUAAGCACCGGCUAACUUCGUG
rnacentral:rRNA from 1 species